rnacentral:rRNA from 1 species
GAUAGCCCGGGGAAACCCGAAUUAAUACCCGUAACAUAUUGAAGAGGCAUCUCUUUAUUAUUAUAGCUCCGGCGGUUAAGGAUGGGCGUGCGGCUGAUUAGGUAGUUGGCGGGGUAACGGCCCACCAAGCCUGCGAUCAGUAACUGGUGUGAGAGCACGACCAGUCACACGGGCACUGAGACACGGGCCCGACUCCUACGGGAGGCAGCAGUAAGGAAUAUUGGUCAAUGGACGCAAGUCUGAACCAGCCAUGCCGCGUGAAGGAUGAAGGUCCUCUGGAUUGUAAACUUCUUUUAUAUGGGAAGAAAUUAUUGGAUUCCUCCGAUAUUGACGGUACCAUAAGAAUAAGCACCGGCUAACUCCGUGCCAGCAGCCGCGGUAAUACGGAGGGUGCAAGCGUUAUCCGGAUUCACUGGGUUUAAAGGGUGCGUAGGAGGGCAGGUAAGUCAGUGGUGAAAUCCUCAAGCUUAACUUGAGAACUGCCGUUGAUACUAUCUGUCUUGAAUACCGUGGAGAUGAGCGGAAUAUGUCAUGUAGCGGUGAAAUGCUUAGAUAUGACAUAGAACACCAAUUGCGAAGGCAGCUCGUUACACGAAUAUUGACUCUGAGGCACGAAAGCGUGGGAUCAAACAGG